rnacentral:rRNA from 1 species
AAAUGACUCUCGGCAACGGAUAUCCCGGCUCUCGCAUCGAUGAAGAACGUAGCGAAAUGCGAUACUUGGUGUGAAUUGCAGAAUCCCGUGAACCAUUGAGUCUUUGAACGCAAGUUGCGCCCGAAGCCAUUAGGCUAAGGGCACGUCUGCCUGGGUGUCACGC